CAUUUUAUUUUGAAAAAGAGGUUAUGGUACAUUUAUUCCCAAGAAUGCAAGUUCCAUGAAGGCAGAAUUUUUUGUUGUGUUUGCUGAUGGAUCUCAAAAGACCUGGAUAUACAGCAUAUUCUCCAGAAGCAAAUGCCUAUAAAGAAGAGUGUGAAUCUGAAGAUUCUUACCUCUUUGGAUUGCUAGAUGUGUAACCAGCCAUGAAUGUGCAUUAAGGUGGCUGAAAAUUCAUAAAGAUCCAGGAAAAGAAGAAUGUCAUUAGCAG